rnacentral:rRNA from 1 species
GAUGAACGCUAGCGGGAGGCCUAACACAUGCAAGUCGAACGGGAUUGGGAGCUUGCUCCCAUGAGAGUGGCGCACGGGUGAGUAACGCGUAUGCAACCUACCUUUAACAGAGGGAUAGCCCAUAGAAAUGUGGAUUAAUACCUUAUAGUUCUUUUUUCUCGCAUGAGGGGGAAGAUAAAGCAUUAGCGGUUAAAGAUGGGCAUGCGUGACAUUAGCUAGUUGGUGAGGUAACGGCUCACCAAGGCGACGAUGUCUAGGGGUUCUGAGAGGAUGAUCCCCCACACUGGUACUGAGACACGGACCAGACUCCUACGGGAGGCAGCAGUGAGGAAUAUCGGUCAAUGGGCGCAAGCCUGAACCAGCCAUCCCGCGUGCAGGAUGAAGGCCCUAUGGGUCGUAAACUGCUUUUAUACGCCAAGAAAAACACAGACGAGUCUGUGCCUGACGGUAGUGUAUGAAUAAGCAUCGGCUAACUCCGUGCCAGCAGCCGCGGUAAUACGGAGGAUGCAAGCGUUAUCCGGAUUCAUUGGGUUUAAAGGGUGCGUAGGCGGCUUUUUAAGUCAGUGGUGAAAUCUUGCCGCUUAACGGUAAAAUUGCCAUUGAUACUGAGGAGCUUGAGUACAGUUGAGGUAGGCGGAAUGUGUAGUGUAGCGGUGAAAUGCUUAGAUAUUACACAGAACACCAAUUGCGAAGGCAGCUUACUAAACUGGUAACUGACGCUGAUGCACGAAAGCGUGGGGAGCGAACAGGAUUAGAUACCCUGGUAGUCCACGCCGUAAACGAUGCUCACUCGCUGUUUGCGAUACACAGCAAGCGGCCAAGCGAAAGCAUUAAGUGAGCCACCUGGGGGAGUACGAUCGCAAGGUUG